rfam:Picea glauca, whole genome shotgun sequence.
UGUCGUGUGGUCAAGACAGAGUGAACUAUUAUUUCUCCUUUUACUAAAGAAUAGCGUGUCUUGGCCACCAACAACAUAAGACACCUAUUUUCCGAGGCUUCCAUCUCACUGCGAGA